GGCCCAUUAGCAUAGUGGUUAUGCGUCUGCUUUAUUUAGGAAAAGUGGGACCGAUGUCCUGUGGAUGAUGUGGGUUCGAAUCCCACCUGGGCCU